rnacentral:rRNA from 1 species
CCACACCUAAAAACUUUCCACGUGAACUGUCAAACCUGUUCUGUGCUUGUGCUGGGUCUGCGUUUUCGGACGCGGACGCGGCGGAGGCUGAACGAAGGCUGGUUUCAUUUGKAUGARAWCMGCUGAWAUAUUUUUUCAAACCCCUUUUUUACAAAAUGACUGAUCAAUACUGUGAGAACGAAAGUUCUUGCUUUAAACUAGAUAACAACUUUCAGCAGUGGAUGUCUAGGCUCGCACAUCGAUGAAGAACGCUGCGAACUGCGAUACGUAAUGCGAAUUGCAGAAUUCAGUGAGUCAUCGAAAUUUUGAACGCAUAUUGCACUUUCGGGUUAGACCUGGAAGUAUGUCUGUAUCAGUGUCCGUACAUCAAACUUGCCUCUCUUUUUUCUGUGUAGUCAGGAUUGGAGACGUGCAGAUGUGAAGUGUCUCGCGCACUUGCGUCUUCGGACGACAAGCUGUCGAGUCCUUUUAAAGCGACACGAUCUUUCUAUUGUUUCUGUGAAGCGUAUUGCUCGAACGCGGUGAUUUUCGGAUCGCUCGCAGUCGUCGGCGACUUCGGUGAGAACAUAAAGGAGGAAACCUCAAUUCGCGGUAUGUUCGGCUUCGGCUCGACAAUGUUGCUUAUUGUGUGUGGAAUCUGUUUUCGCCUUGAGGUGUACUGAUGGUUGUGUGCUUGAACUGGGAGUUGGUGUGUAGUAGAGUGGUGCAGCAUGCAUGGUUACGCCCUUUU